GACGAACGCUGGCGGCGUGCUUAACACAUGCAAGUCGAACGGAAAGGCCCUGCUUUUGUGGGGUGCUCGAGUGGCGAACGGGUGAGUAACACGUGAGUAACCUGCCCUUGACUUUGGGAUAACUUCAGGAAACUGGGGCUAAUACCGGAUAGGAGCUCCUGCUGCAUGGUGGGGGUUGGAAAGUUUCGGCGGUUGGGGAUGGACUCGCGGCUUAUCAGCUUGUUGGUGGGGUAGUGGCUUACCAAGGCUUUGACGGGUAGCCGGCCUGAGAGGGUGACCGGCCACAUUGGGACUGAGAUACGGACCAGACUCCUACGGGAGGCAGCAGGGGGGAAUAUUGCACAAUGGGCGGAAGCCUGAUGCAGCAACGCCGCGUGCGGGAUGACGGCCUUCGGGGUGUAAACCGCUUUCGCCUGUGACGAAGCGUUAGUGACGGUAAUGGGUAAAGAAGCACCGGCUAACUACGUG
rnacentral:rRNA from 1 species